rnacentral:rRNA from 1 species
CAAUAGCGUAUAUUAAAGUUGUUGCAGUUAAAAAGCUCGUAGUUGGAUUUCUGGUGGGAGCGAUCGGUCUGGCGCUUAGCGCGAGUACUUGCAUCGUCUCCGGCCAUCCUUGGGGAGAGUCUGUCUGGCAUUAAGUUGUCGGGCAGAGGAUCCUCAUCGUUUACUGUGAAAAAAUUAGAGUGUUCACAGCAGGCUUAUGCCGUUGAAUAUAUUAGCAUGGAAUAAUAAGAUAGGACUUUGGUACUAUUUUGUUGGUUUGCGCACCAAAGUAAUGAUUAAUAGGGACAGUUGGGGGUAUUCGUAUUCCGUUGUCAGAGGUGAAAUUCUUGGAUUUACGGAAGACGAACUACUGCGAAAGCAUUUACCAAGGAUGUUUUCAUUAA